CCUACGGGAGGCAGCAGUGGGGAAUCUUGCGCAAUGGGCGAAAGCCUGACGCAGCAACGCCGCGUGCGGGAAGAAGGCUCUCGGGUUGUAAACCACUUUCAGCAGGAACGAAAAUGACGGUACUUGCAGAAGAAGGUGCGGCCAACUACGUGCCAGCAGCCGCGGUGACACGUAGGCACCAAGCGUUGUCCGGAUUUAUUGGGCGUAAAGAGCUCGUAGGCGGUUCGGUAAGUCGGGUGUGAAAACUUUGGGCUCAACCCAAAGCCUGCAUCCGAUACUGCUGUGACUAGAGUUCGGUAGGGGAGCGGGGAAUUCCUAGUGUAGCGGUGAAAUGCGCAGAUAUUAGGAGGAACACCGGUGGCGAAGGCGCCGCUCUGGGCCGAUACUGACGCUGAGGAGCGAAAGCGUGGGUAGCAAACAGGAUUAGAUACCCUGGUAGUCCACGCCGUAAACGUUGGGCACUAGGUGUGGGUUUCAACCAACGAAAUCCGCGCCGUCGCUAACGCAUUAAGUGCCCCGCCUGGGGAGUACGAUCGCAAGAUUAAAACUCAAAGGAAUUGACGG
rnacentral:rRNA from 1 species